AGAUGCAGCCCAGAGAGAUGAGCAUGUAACACACAGCAAGAAUGCAGCCACCAGGCAAGCCAAGGAGAGAGCCUUCAGAAGAAACCAACCCUGCCGACACCUUGACCUCAGACUUCCAGCCUCUAAAACGAUUGAAGACAAUGCUGAUCAUACUAUCAACCAUGAAGGACUGUGCUGAGGAUUGAAUGAGAAUACAUUCAGGCCACGGAACACACUACUUGUGCAAGAAGCUACAAUGAGAAAAAAAAUAGCAAGAAAUAGAUGAGGGAAGGAGGUUCUGUAGAGGGAAAAACAAAGAGAGAAAAGGAGAAUGAAUUGUGCUGAGAAAGAGAUGCCUGGAUGAAGAAGCUGGCCCUAGCACCCAUAAAGCUGGAAAGAAAGUGGGGCCUUGGAAACUUCUGGAAGGAUGCGAGGAAAGAAAAAUGCAAGGAAAUGAGAUGGAGAGGAGAAAGAGAAACCAGGAAGCACUUCGGAAGCAUGUAAAUUACAAGGAAAUGAGGAACAGCCUUUAUUGAAACAGUCUGUGAAGUCUGUGCUAGCGCUGAGAGCUUCAUUUUACUGUCCUGGCAAGGAGGUAGGUGCUCAAAGAACUUUGUCUUGGAAGCCCACUGUGGCUCCCCCGGGCCUGGCACUUUAAGCCCCGUACUUUUGCUCUCACUGUUCCUCUCUGCCU
rnacentral:lncRNA from 1 species